GUCUACAGCCAUGCCACCCUGAACAAGCCUGAUCCCAUCUGAUCCCGGAAGCUAAGCAGGGUCAGGCCUGUUUAGUGCUUGGAUGGGAGACCAUCCAGGAAGACCAGGUGCUGUAGGUG
rnacentral:rRNA from 1 species